GUUUCCAUUUUUUCACUACAGUAAAUGACACUAAAGAGAAGACCCUUUGUAAUUCAGUCUUUGCACUCUUCUACUAUUAUUUGCUUUGGAUAAAUUACUCAAACCACAAUUGCUGGGUAAAUGGGUGUGCACACUUUCAAAUUCCUUUCUCUCUCUGUCUUUCCUUCUCUCCUUCCUUCUUCCUUUCUUUUUGUGAACUGCCAAAUCAAUCUCAUAAAAAUCUUGCGCCUCUUUGUACUCAAAACCAAUAUGACUUUUCUUUAAAUGUUAAGACAAUGGAAAGUCACUUUAUUUCACUAUUUUCUAGCACAAUACAUUAUACCAGAAGUGAGGGAAAAUGUUGGGAGGAAGAGAUCUCCAGUUGCUCAGGGAUAUUUCAUUGAGACAAAACAGCAAAACUCAUCUGUCAGGCAAGAGUUUCCAGUAAGUACCCAUCAUCUAUCCACAGUAUAGAUCUCUCUGGCAGCAAACAUUUAGGUGCCAUAUAAUUCAGGAGUCAUUGUCGAAACCGAUCAAUGGGUCUUGCACAUGAUAACAAGCUUUCACCUGCAAUUGAGAGCUGGGGAGUCUGUGCCUCUCUGCAGAGCAGCCUGGACCGUGAAUGGCAAAUCACCAUUCAGCCCUCGGUGAGAGGCAGCACUUUCCGUUUCAAGACCAGCCCUGAAGCAGCGGAAAAGGGAAGUCGUGUGGCUUUGUGGUUUGAUUAGAGGACUGGGCCAUUACAACUUCAAGUUCUCUUUGGGCUCUGCCAAUGACUUCUCCGAUGGCCUCAAUGCAGUCUGUCUCUUUUUUCUCAGCAGUAAAAUGGAGACAAGAAUGCUAGCUUCUUCCACAUAAAGAAUACAACCAAGUACUUGAAGACUUUUAACACAUCUGGGCAUCCAUAAAGGAAACUGUUGCCCAAGACAAUUCAUUUUUUUUUUUUUUUAAAUCACCAUUGUAGAGGUUUUGUUGCUUCGGAGAAAUCUAAGUUUAAUGGUUAUGUAUAAGAAAUGGGGCAAGCUGGGCACGGUGGCUCACGCCUGUAAUCCCAGCACUUUGGGAGUCAAAGCGAUCACUUGAGGUCAGGAGUUCAAGACCAACCUGGCCAACAUGGUGAAAUCCCAUCCCAACUAAAAAUACAAAAAUUAGCCAGGUAAGGUGGCAGGUGCCUGUAGCCCUGGCUAGUUGGGAGGCUGAGGCAGGAGAAUCACUUGAACCUGGGAGGCAGAGAUUGCAGUGAGCCAAGAUUGUGCCACUGCACUCCAGCCUGGGCAAUAGAGUGAGACUCAGUCUCAAAAAAAAAAAAAAAGAAAAAAAAA
rnacentral:lncRNA from 1 species